rnacentral:rRNA from 1 species
GAUGAACGCUGGCGGCGUGCUUAACACAUGCAAGUCGAACGGGAAUUAUUUUAUUGAAACUUCGGUCGAUUUAAUUUAAUUCUAGUGGCGGACGGGUGAGUAACGCGUGGGUAACCUGCCUUAUACAGGGGGAUAACAGUCAGAAAUGGCUGCUAAUACCGCAUAAGCGCACAGAGCUGCAUGGCUCAGUGUGAAAAACUCCGGUGGUAUAAGAUGGACCCGCGUUGGAUUAGCUGGUUGGUGGGGUAACGGCCCACCAAGGCGACGAUCCAUAGCCGGCCUGAGAGGGUGAACGGCCACAUUGGGACUGAGACACGGCCCAGACUCCUACGGGAGGCAGCAGUGGGGAAUAUUGCACAAUGGGGGAAACCCUGAUGCAGCGACGCCGCGUGAAGGAAGAAGUAUCUCGGUAUGUAAACUUCUAUCAGCAGGGAAGAUAGUGACGGUGCCUGACUAAGAAGCCCCGGCUAACUACGUG